UAUUUAAUUAAUUUUAUUAGUAGUUAUAUAUUUAUUUUAAAAAUUAAAUUAUAUAUAUUUAAGUUUAAGUAAUUAAAUUACAAAAUUGUAAAUAGCUUAUUAAAUUAAUUAUAGUUUAUUUGAUAGUACCUUACUAUAUAGAUAAUUGUAGUAAUUCUAGAGUUAAUAUAUAUUAAAAACCCCGACUUCGGAAGGGGUAUAUUUAUUAAAUUAAAAACUAAUACCCUUUGGGGCUAAUUAGUAAUUUAUAAUAAUUUUUCGAAUUGUAUAGCUUUGCGCUAGCGAUGGUUUAUUUAAAUUUCUAUUCUAUUAAUUUUUAACGGUUGGGUUUUGGCUAGCUAUAGUGAUAAUGGGUAAUGGAGGGUUAAGGCUCGACUUUAGAGAAGGAGUUUGAGAAAUGGCUACUAUAUUUAAGGAAGGUAGUAGGCGUAUAAAUUACCUAAUCCUAAUACGGGGAGGUAGUAAUAAUAAAUAUUAAUAUAGGGCUCUUUUAAGUUUUAUAAUUAGAAUAAAUAUAAUUUAAAUCCCUUAAUAAGGAAUAAUUAGAGGGUAAAUUUGGUAUUAGUAGCCGUAGUAAUUCUAAUUCUAAUAGCGUAUAUUAAAGUUAUUAAGGUUAAAAAGUUCGUAAUUAAACCUUAGACUCGGCCCGUCGGUCCGCUUUAUUAUAUAUAUUAAUUAGGUUGGGCCUUUUUUCCUAGAGAACUGUAUGCCCUUUAUUGGGUAUGUCGGGGAAUUAGGACUUUUACUAUAAAUAAAUUAGAUUACUUAAAGAAGGCCUAUAUUCGAAUAUACUAGUAUAGAAUAAUAGAAUAGGACGUAUAGUUCUAUUUUAUUAGUUUUUAAGAUUAUUAUAAUAAUUAAUAGGGAUAGUCGGGGGUAUUAAUAUUUAAUUAUUAGAAGUAAAAUUCUUAAAUUUAUUAAAGAUUAAUUAUUGUAAAAAUAUUUACUAAGGAUAUUUUUAUUAAUUAGGAAUGAAAGUUAGGGGAUUGAAGACAAUUAAAUACCGUUGUAGUCUUAAUUAUAAACUAUACCAAUUAAGGAUUAGAUAGUAUUAUUUUUUAACCCGUUUGGCACUUUAUAAUAAAUUAAAAUAUUUGGGCUCCUAGGGGAAUAUAGUUGUAAGGUUGAAAUUUAAAGAAAUUGAUAGAAGGGUACUACUAGGGGUGGAGUUUGCGGUUUAAUUUAAUUUAAUAUAGGGAAAUUUAUUAGGUUUAAAUACAAUAAGGAUUAAUAAAUUGAGAGCUCUUUCUUAAUUUCGUAGGUAGUAGUAUAUAGCCGUUUUUAAUUAGUAGAGUAAUUUAUUUAUUUAAUUACAAUAACGAAUGAGACUUUAACUUAUUAAAUAGUUUAUAUUAUUUUAGUAGUACGUUAACUUUUUAAAGGGAUUAUCGGUUUAAACUAAUAGAAAUUUAAAGUAAUAAUAGGUUUGUAAUGCCCUUAGAUAUUUUAGGCCGUACGCGCGCUAUACUAAUAUAAUUAGUAAAUAUUUCUUUAGUUAGAAAGUCCGGGUAAUCUUAUUAAAUUGUAUUAUAUUAGGGAUAGAGUAUUAUAAUUAUUACUCUUUAAUAAGGAAUUUUUAAUAAGUAUAAAUUAUUAGUUUGCAUUAAUUACAUUCCUACCUUUUAUAUAUACCGUUUAUUAUUACUACCAAUUAAAUAGUUUAAUAAGGUUUCCAGAUUAGCCUAGGGAGGUCGGUAAUAAUUACUUAGGGCCGGAAAGCUAUUUAAACUUAAUUAUUUAGAGGAAGUAAAAGUUGUAAUAAGGUCUUUAUUAGUAAAUUAGUAGAAGGAUUAUUA
rfam:Neurospora crassa OR74A unplaced genomic scaffold supercont12.8, whole genome shotgun sequence.